rnacentral:rRNA from 1 species
CUUGAUCAAUUAUAAGAGGUCAAGCCUGCCCAGUGACAUUGUUCAACGGCCGCGGUAUCCUAACCGUGCGAAGGUAGCGUAAUCACUUGUCCUUUAAAUAAGGACUAGUAUGAACGGCUUCACGAAGGCUAUACUGUCUCCUUAAUCUAAUCAAUUAAACUAAUCUCCCCGUGAAGAAGCGGGGAUUCGUCUAUAAGACGAGAAGACCCUAUGGAGCUUUAAACAUCUAAGACACUUGAUUAUAUCUACUAAACUUCAUGCAACCUAUCAUUUUGUCUUAAGUUUUAGGUUGGGGUGACCAUGGAGAAAAAUUAAACCUCCACGUAGAAAGAAAAUUCUUUUCUAAGCAAAAAGACACAUCUUAACGCAUCAAUAUAUUGACUUAAAUUGACCCA